rnacentral:rRNA from 1 species
UACAGGGGGGGCAAGCGUUGUUCGGAAUUACUGGGCGUAAAGUGUGCGCAGGCGGCUUCGCAAGUCGAGUGUGAAAUCCCCGAGCUUAACUUGGGAAUUGCGCUCGAAACUACGGAGCUGGAGUGUGGCAGAGGAAGGUGGAAUUCCACGUGUAGCGGUGAAAUGCGUAGAGAUCCGGAGGAACACCAAAGGCGAAGGCAGUGUCCUGGGGAGUACCUGACGCUCAGGUGCGAAAGCCAGGGGAGCGAACGGG